ACCUCCACUGGCCCGCGACCAAGAGAAGUUUUCAGGACACAAACACGGCAUCAUGUUCUGUGGGUAGCAGCCUCUGCCAACAUCUUCGACGUCAAAUCCUGGGCAUGAACCCGAGACGUUUG
rnacentral:rRNA from 1 species